UGGGGAAUUUUGGACAAUGGGGGAAACCCUGAUCCAGCAAUGCCGCGUGUGCGAAGAAGGCCUUCGGGUUGUAAAGCACUUUUGUCAGGGAAGAAAUCCUUUGGGCUAAUACCCUAGGGGGAUGACGGUACCUGAAGAAUAAGCACCGGCUAACUACGUGCCAGCAGCCGCGGUAAUACGUAGGGUGCAAGCGUUAAUCGGAAUUACUGGGCGUAAAGCGUGCGCAGGCGGUUGUGUAAGACAGGUGUGAAAUCCCCGGGCUUAACCUGGGAAUUGCAUUUGUGACUGCACGACUAGAGUGUGUCAGAGGGGGGUGGAAUUCCACGUGUAGCAGUGAAAUGCGUAGAUAUGUGGAGGAACACCAAUGGCGAAGGCAGCCCCCUGGGAUAACACUGACGCUCAUGCACGAAGGCGUGGGGAGCAAACAGGAUUAGAUACCCUGGUAGUCCACGCCCUAAACGAUGUCAACUAGUUGUUGGGGAUUUACUUCCUUGGUAACGUAGCUAACGCGUGAAGUUGACCGCCUGGGGAGUACGGCCGCAAGGUUA
rnacentral:rRNA from 1 species